GCGCUGUUAGCUCAAUUGGAAGAGCACGUCCCUUCUAAGGAUGGGGUUAUGAGUUCGAAUCUCAUACGGCGUG
rnacentral:tRNA from 4 species